GAAACCAACAGGGAUUGCCCCAGUAACGGCGAGUGAAGCGGCAAAAGCUCAAAUUUGAAAGCCCCAGGGCAUUGUAAUUUGAAGGGUGGGAAAAACGUCGGGUUAAAGUCCAUUGGAAAAUGGCGCCAUAGAGGGUGAUAGCCCCGUAAAUACCCCCCCGUUAUAUAUUCCCCACCCAAAGAGUCGAGUUGUUUGGGAAUGCAGCUCUAAGUGGGUGGUAAACUCCAUCUAAAGCUAAAUAUUGGCGAGAGACCGAUAGCGAACAAGUACAGUGAUGGAAAGAUGAAAAGCACUUUGAAAAGAGAGUGAAAAAGUACGUGAAAUUGUUGAAAGGGAAGGGCUUGCAAGUAGACCUUUUUUGGGCGGGCAUCGGGGGAGAGGGAACCAAAAUCAGCCCCGGGAAUGUAACUUUCGAGUAUUAUAUCCCGGCUAGAUGGUUCCUCCCUCCCCCGAGGACGGCAUCAAUACGGAUGCCCGCGUAAUACUUGCAAGUCGCCCGUCU
rnacentral:rRNA from 2 species